UAGCGAAUCUCUCAAAUAAGAGUAAAGAGUAUUUUAGUGUAUUUUUAUACAUCAUUGAGAUUAUAUCUUUUGUUUUAUAAUAGUUUAAGCAUUGCAUCUCUUGUUAUUGCUUUUGUAUUGGAGUUGAGUUGAGAUAAAGGUGUUCAGGAUCAUCAACAGACCCUUCGUUGAGAUCGUUUGACAUUCCAGUUAGCUUUGGGCAUCUUCAGGUGGCUAUUGAUAGACCUCAG